rnacentral:rRNA from 1 species
GUGUCAGCCGCCGCGGUAAUACGGAGGAUGCGAGCGUUAUCCGGAUUUAUUGGGUUUAAAGGGUGCGCAGGCGGGCUAUUAAGUCAGCGGUGAAAUUUUCAGGCUCAACCUGAACACUGCCGUUGAAACUGGUAGUCUUGAGUAUAGAUGAAGUAGGCGGAAUUCGUUGUGUAGCGGUGACAUGCUUAGAUAUAACGAGGAACUCCGAUUGCGUAGGCAGCUUACUAAACUAUAACUGACGCUCAUGCACGAAAGCGUGGGGAUCAAACAGGAUUAGAUACCCUGGUAGUCCACGCCGUAAACGAUGAUUACUAGUUGUAUGCGAUAUGAUAGUAUGUGACUAAGCGAAAGCGAUAAGUAAUCCACCUGGGAGUACGCCGGCAACGGUGAAACUCAAAGGAAUUGACGGGGCCGGCACAAGCGGAGGAACAUGUGGUUUAAUUCGAUGAUACGCGAGGAACCUUACCCGGGCUUGAAAUGCAGAAGACGAUCUAUGAAAGUAGAUUUCCAGCAAUGGUUUCUGUGUAGGUGCUGCAUGGUCGUCGUCAGC